rnacentral:rRNA from 1 species
UGGGGAAUAUUGGACAAUGGGCGAAAGCCUGAUCCAGCCAUGCCGCGUGUGUGAAGAAGGCCUUUUGGUUGUAAAGCACUUUAAGUGGGGAGGAAAAGCUUAUGGUUAAUACCCAUAAGCCCUGACGUUACCCACAGAAUAAGCACCGGCUAACUCUGUGCCAGCAGCCGCGGUAAUACAGAGGGUGCAAGCGUUAAUCGGAAUUACUGGGCGUAAAGCGCGCGUAGGUGGUUAUUUAAGUCAGAUGUGAAAGCCCCGGGCUUAACCUGGGAACUGCAUCUGAUACUGGAUAACUAGAGUAGGUGAGAGGGGAGUAGAAUUCCAGGUGUAGCGGUGAAAUGCGUAGAGAUCUGGAGGAAUACCGAUGGCGAAGGCGGCUCCCUGGCAUCAUACUGACACUGAGGUGCGAAAGCGUGGGUAGCAAACAGGAUUAGAUACCCUGGUAGUCCACGCCGUAAACGAUGUCUACCAGUCGUUGGGUCUUUUAAAGACUUAGUGACGCAGUUAACGCAAUAAGUAGACCGCCUGGGGAGUACGGCCGCAAGGUUA